rnacentral:lncRNA from 1 species
UCUAUCCACUUUUGAUCAGGACCGUCCAUCGUGUUUGAUUUGGACCGUCCGAUCGCAAUUAAAUAGAGAGUGAAUCUGGACCGUUCAUCGCGAUCCAAUAUGGGCCAUCCAUCGUGAUCUAAUCUGGAUCGUUCGAUUGCGUUCAAAUUUGACCGUCCGAUCGCGUUUGGGGAGGGGACGCAUCUGAGUUGUCCGUGCGCGCGGGAACGAAUCUGAGCCGUUCGAUCGCGGGCACGCGGAU